GACGAACGCUGGCGGCGUGCUUAACACAUGCAAGUCGAACGGAAAGGCCCUGCUUUUGUGGGGUGCUCGAGUGGUGAACGGGUGAGUAACACGUGAGUAACCUGCCCUUGACUUUGGGAUAACUUCAGGAAACUGGGGCUAAUACCGGAUAGGAGCUCCUGCUGCAUGGUGGGGGUUGGAAAGUUUCGGCGGUUGGGGAUGGACUCGCGGCUUAUCAGCUUGUUGGUGGGGUAGUGGCUUACCAAGGCUUUGACGGGUAGCCGGCCUGAGAGGGUGACCGGCCACAUUGGGACUGAGAUACGGCCCAGACUCCUACAGGAGGCAGCAGUGGGGAAUAUUGCACAAUGGGCGGAAGCCUGAUGCAGCAACGCCGCGUGCGGGAUGACGGCCUUCGGGUUGUAAACCGCUUUCGCCUGUGACGAAGCGUGAGUGACGGUAAUGGGUAAAGAAGCACCGGCUAACUACGUG
rnacentral:rRNA from 1 species